CGAAGCCAGUAUUUAUUUACAGUUCACAGAUUACAGUCUAGUUCCCAGCUUGGGGAAAAUCGUCUAGUAUACCACAAAGAUUGUGGACUCUACGUGGCCACUUAAUCCCACUCACUAAAGUAUUGACAUAAAAUCAAAAUAAAAUAUGCAUAGUUUUACAAAAUCAGCUCCUUUUCUUUAACUUUGCUAAAGUCAUGCUUUCCACCAUCUUUUUCUCCCCACCAACUCCACAACCACCAACUCCCCCACCAUACUAGUGCAGCAACAACUCUUCCUUAUCUUAGUCUCAACUUCAGCCAAGCAACGCAAGACUCACUAUCACUUUUCACCAAGAAUCUCCCAAAGAGCAGGGGAGCCUCCAUUUCAACCUGCCAAUGUUUUCAAGUUUCAAUUCAUUCAAUGCACUACAACCAAAAAGUGAGAGAAAUCACUCAUUCACUCUCUGCCAGAAACAUUAAGGUAAAAAAAUUAGUAUUGAUUCAUCAUCUCCUUCCAAUUACAACUUACAGUUAUUGAAAGAAACAAGUUUGAUCUUUCAGUUCAGUCAUUCCAGUUCUUUUAACUCAACAUCACAGCAGCCAACCAAGCCCAAAACAUUAGCAAGGUCAAGCGCGAGAGUAAGAACUACACAAGGAGUUAGAGUACCUUAGCAAAACUUUGCUAUCAGGUGGGCAAUUCCUUACGCGUAAAUAAAAUGCUAUGCAAAUGUUAUGCUUUAAAAUGCAAAUUGGAUCUUCAAGUAUGGUAUGCUUUAUUACGCUUAAAUGAGUUAAGCUUUAUUAUGCUGCACGUUAAAUGAUUUACGCUAUGCUGUUUAUACUAUUUACGCCCUAUGUAAUUUACGCUUGAUUACACUUAUUUACGCUUGAAUGCUUUACGCUGAUAAGUUUAUGCUUAUGUUUGAUGCUUGCGUCUGUUGGGGGAGGCCUCCCUCAACAGUACGAUGCCGUGUCCGUUGAGGAGGGCCUUCCUCACGGCGCGAUGCCCGUGUCCGCUGAGAGAGGCCUCUCUCGCGGCGCGAUGCCAGUAUGCCAGUAUGCCAGUGUUACAGCGUCUAUUGGGGGAGGCCUCCCUCAAUAGUACGAUGCCGUGACCGCUGAGGGAGGCCCCCUCUCACGGCGCGAUGCCCGUGUUCGUUGGGGAAGGCCUUCUCCACGACACGAUGCGUGUUUAUGAUUGUUAAUGAUGAAGAAUGCCCUUAUGCUAUUUAUGAAUUUGGAAAUGUUUAAUGAGCAAAGGAUAUGAAAGAAACUCAUGCCUCUUAUGCGAUAUUGUGAAAUUGUUAAUGAUGUUAUGUUAUAUGCUUGGCAACUGCCCACUAAGUACUCUUGUACUUAGCCCUUCGAUGUUUAUGUUUGUGCAGGUUGAGCUGUGAUGGGCGAUGAAGUGUUGUUGCUGAGUGGAGUUUUUGUCGAACUUAAAGUAGGCUCAGAAAGGGUACAUGUCUUCAUACAUGUAUUUCAGUUAUGCAUUCCGCUGUAAACACUGAUUAUUUCAGUUACGCCUUCCGUUGCAAACUCUGAUAAUAUUUUAGCCAAGCCCCUAACGAUGCCUUUUUCCUUUUAAGGAAUAUAACGCGUAUACAAGUUCUUUGAGUACCCUUUUUAUGCGAACUAUGCCUUUUUCCUUUUUAAGGAAUAUUUCACGCGUAUUCAA